CCUACGGGUGGCAGCAGUGAGGAAUAUUGGUCAAUGGGCGGAAGCCUGAACCAGCCAAGUAGCGUGCAGGAUGACGGCCCUACGGGUUGUAAACUUCUUUUAUACGGGGAUAACACCCUCCACUUGUGGAGGUCUUCAGGUACCGUGCGAAUAAGGGCAGGCUAAUUCCGUGCCAGCAGCCGCGGGAAUACGGAAGGCCCGGGCGUUAGCCGGAUUCAUUGGGGUUAAAGGGAGCGUAGGCGGGCGUUGAAGGCAGCGGUAAAAGCGCGCGGCUCAACCGCCCCCCGCAGUUGAAACUGGAGGCCUUGAGUUGACAAGAGGAAGGCGGAAUGCGUGGUGUAGCGGUGAAAUGCAUAGAUAUCACGAGGAACCCCGAUUGCGAAGGCAGCAUGCCGGGGUGCGACUGACGCUGAGGCUCGAAGGUGCGGGUAUCAAACAGGAUUAGAUACCCCUGUAGUC
rnacentral:rRNA from 1 species